GGCAGAGACAGGCUGUUGGCACCACUGGGCAGCUGAGGUGCUCAGGCUCUAGGGAGGGGAAACCUGAGCUGUGAGAGAGACCAUCAGAGGACCAGGGGAGCCAUCACUCAUGCCCCGCUUGUUCCAUUCGGGAAUUACUUCUUGCCUAUGAACUCCUAAAGAUCCUCCAGACUACUAGGCCCACCUGUGUGCUCUCGAGCAGUUUUCUGGAGUUGAAAUUAUCUCCGUUAGCCAACCGUAUCACAUGAACAGCAUCAGCAGCCACAGCAUCAGGAGGUUUGAUUCCUGGAACAGGAAGGACAGAGAACAAAGUGAAGUUCUGCGAUAUGGCUGUCACAACUGGGUGGGGAGGAUGGGGAGAUGGGGAAGGGGUAGAGACGGACAAGGAAUCAGGCAAGCAUCGACACCAGUAAAAUUCCAAGUACUUAUUAAGACAGAGAGAGACGGAGCACAAGCAGGAGUGGGUCAGAGAGAGAGGGGGACACAGAACCUGAAGCAGGCUCCAGGCUCUGAGCUGUCAGCACAGAGCCCGACGCGGGGCUGGAGCUCAGAAGCCGUGGAUGACGUCGGACGCUCAACCGACUGAGCCAUCCAGGCGCCCCGACAUGACAUUAUCUUAAACUUUAUCCAAGACUGAAUUCUGUGUCCUCCCCCAAUUGCUUUCUCUUCCCAUAUCCCCCACUUCUACCACUCCUAUUAUCAUUUGCCUACUCUACUUAUUUUAAUAAAUAUGGUCAAUGUUUUCCCCUUCAUUCAAGUCUCAUUUUUAAAGAAGUAUAAAGCACUUGAACCAUGCGCUUAUAAUGGGCAUACCCUUUCAUCUAAACUGCCGUGAAAUCUUAUUUUCUUUCGGGCUCUUGAUUUCAUUCCUAUAACGAUGCCCCUAGACCAGAUUCUCAUCACCUCUCCACUGAGAAAAUGAAAUUGUGUAGGCUCUCUCCCUAUCCAGUCUAUCUCCUUUUACAGAUCUAUCCCACAUUCUGACACAAGCAAUUUCCCCCCAGAUACUUUCAACAUAACAUGGCCUGCUUGUUAUGGGACUGUGACUCCUUGUUGGUGACUUUCCUAGGUCUGCACACUCCUCUUGCCUGAUUCAAGUCCUCCAAGAUCUAUCUUGGAUUCUUCAUUCUGAUUUUAGCAAGGGCCCUCUGAUCUGUGCAGACUGGUCUUCCCACAGUUCUGCAAUGCAUUAAUAUUUGUACUUAAACCUGCAUGUUUUCCUUCUAGAAAACAAUCCCUCUUCUUUGCAAAUUCAACUCUGCCUAUCUUUCAAUGUCCACUCCUAUGGAAUUUUCUGGAAU